CCCUACGGGGUGCAGCAGGCGCGAAACCUUUACAAUGUGGGAAAGCAUGAUAAGGGAACUCCGAGUGCCAGUAUCUAAUACUGGCUGUCCUUGUGCCUAAAACGCACAAGAUAGCAAGGGCCGGGUAAGACCGGUGCCAGCCGCCGCGGUAACACCGGCGGCCCGAGUGGUAGCCGCUAUUAUUGGGUCUAAAGGGUCCGUAGCCGGUUCGAUAAGUCCUCUGGGAAAUCUGGUUGCUUAACAAUCAGACUGCCAAGGGAUACUGUCGAACUUGAGACCGGGAGAGGUAAGAGGUACUUCAGGGGUAGGAGUGAAAUCUUGUAAUCCCUGGGGGACCAUCUGUGGCGAAGGCGUCUUACCAGAACGGGUCUGACGGUGAGGGACGAAAGCUGGGGGCGCAAACCGGAUUAGAUACCCGGGUAGUCCCAGCCGCAAACGAUGCUCGCUAUGUGUCAGGUACGGUGUGACCGUAUCUGGUGCCGUAGGGAAGCCGUGAAGCGAGCCACCUGGGAAGUACGGCCGCAAGGCUGAAACUUAAAGGAAUUGGCGGGGGAGCAC
rnacentral:rRNA from 1 species